CCUACGGGCGGCUGCAGUGGGGAAUAUUGGGCAAUGGGCGCAAGCCUGACCCAGCAACGCCGCGUGAAGGAAGAAGGCUUUUGGGUUGUAAACUUCUUUUAACAGGGAAGAGCAUAAGACUGUACCUCUUGAAUAAGACACGGCUCACUACGUUCCAGCCGCCGCGGUGAUACGUAGGUGGCGAGCGUUUUCCUGAUGUACUGGGUGGAAAGGGCGUGCAGCGGGGAAGACAAGUCAGAUGUGAAAUCCCGCGGCUCAACCGCGGAACUGCAAUUGAAACUGUGUUUCUUGAGUACGUGAGAGGUAAGCGGAAUUCCAUGUGUAGCGGUGAAAUGCGUAGAUAUAAGGAAGAACACCAGUGGCGAAGGCGGAUGACUGGACGGCAACUGACGGUGAGGCGCGAAAGCGUGGGGAGCAAACAGGAUUAGAUACCCUUGUAGUC
rnacentral:rRNA from 1 species